AACGAACGCUGGCGGCAUGCCUAACACAUGCAAGUCGAACGAUGCCUUCGGGCAUAGUGGCGCACGGGUGCGUAACGCGUGGGAAUCUGCCCUUGGCUUCGGAAUAACAGUUAGAAAUGACUGCUAAUACCGGAUGAUGUCCCCUUGAGAGAUCUUGGGGACCAAAGAUUUAUCGGCCAGGGAUGAGCCCGCGUAGGAUUAGGUAGUUGGUGGGGUAAAGGCCUACCAAGCCGACGAUCCUUAGCUGGUCUGAGAGGAUGAUCAGCCACACUGGGACUGAGACACGGCCCAGACUCCUACGGGAGGCAGCAGUGGGGAAUAUUGGACAAUGGGGGGAACCCUGAUCCAGCAAUGCCGCGUGAGUGAUGAAGGCCUUAGGGUUGUAAAGCUCUUUUACCAGGGAUGAUAAUGACAGUACCUGGAGAAUAAGCGCCGGCUAACUCCGUG
rnacentral:rRNA from 1 species